UACAGAGGUCUCAAGCGUUGUUCGGAAUCACUGGGCGUAAAGGGUGCGUAGGCCGCACGGUAAGUCAGAGGUGAAAUCCCGGAGCUCAACUUCGGAAUUGCCUCCGAUACUGCCGUGCUUGAGGACUGGAGAGGAGAUUGGAAUUCACAGUGGAGCAGUGAAAUGCGUAGAUAUUGUGAGGAACACCGGUGGCGAAGGCGGCAUCCUGGACCGAGAUUGACGCUGAGGCGCGAAAGCCAGGGGAGCAAACGGG
rnacentral:rRNA from 1 species